rnacentral:lncRNA from 1 species
GUUCUAAUUGUUCCAACUCCCAUGUUUGCUUUAUAACCUCAUUCAAACUCCCCAAAACCACCGUUCUGCUCCUUUUCUUGUAAUGCUUUUUAAACCAUCAUCGUUGACGCUCCAAUACUCCGACAAUCCAUCCGUACUAACAACAAGAGAGCAAUCAAUCCUGCACUCACCACGUCAAUAGCAAUGGCCACCGGUUUGGUUUGGCUGGAGCUUCUUAAUGUUAUUGGCGGGCCACAAAGGGGAAGACUAACGAAUUUCUACACAUCGUACCCGUAUAAUGUUUCGAUUUGAAAUCUGGUUCGUACAACACUUGGGUUUAGUUCUUAUUUGAAGAUGCAGAGACAAAGAAUGAUUUCAGGUUAUUGCCUUCACUGGAAAUGCCCUACAGCAACAUGGAGGUUUACAAGCAAAUAAUUUGUGGGUAAGAUUCAUACACGUGAAGAUGGUGGUAAGUAUAUUGGAGAAUUUAAAGGAGGUAUUAAACAUGGGCUUGGGCCUUGCCCACUAUCAUUUCAGCUAUUAGAUCAGAACGAGGUGCAAAAUUUACUCCCAUCAACCCUUAAAGCCCAAAGUUGUGGAUUGAAAGUUGUACUGGAUGGUUUAAGAGCCGGGUGAUGGAGUAUAAGCAGAAAAUGAAGUAGAAGCUUAUGACACAACCAAGAUACUUACUUUGGAAAUUUGAUUGGCGCUUAAGAAAGUCUUCAAAUUAGCUAAUAUGAAUUUCAGAGGUGAACACCAAAACGUGGGUGAUGGAAAAGAAAGCAGAAAAUGAAGCAGAAGCGUUGAAGUGGGUGUGGAGGCUUGAGAACAUUAAUGAUACUUUCAUGGAGCACCUAUGGUACCUGACUUGGUAUACUUCAACUAUCCUUAUUUUAUCAUUAACUAUAUUUUACCAGUAGUUAAAUUUGUAUGAUUAUAAAGUCUUAACUGUAAAAAUUGAUGGGAAUGACCCAAUCUGCAUGUUAUAUAAUAUUAGUUCAGUUUUAACUCCAAAUAACGUGAUAAGUAAAUAUGUGUCAUAUCAUUCACUUAUCUCUUAAGAUAUACAAGGAUCUAUACUGAACCAUAGUUUGCGUUCUGU